CGACACACACCGUCCCCACCUGCCUGAGCUGCUGCAGUGGGACCAGGCCCUCUGGGCUGGAUCCCAUCUCAGCUGUCCCCAUCGGGAAGCAAGUGUUGUGGUCUGAAUGAAAAAUGUCCCCCAAAGGCUCCUGUGUUAAGGCAUGGCCCCCACAUGGUGCUGCUUCUGGGAGGUGACUAGGUCAUGAAGGGAGUCACUUCUUGUGGUUGGUUAACCCAGGAAUGGGCGGUUAAAGAUAGAGCCCGGAAGAAAGGUUUGUGUUGGUCUGUCUCUGAAGGCCACUCUGUCCCUGGUCCCUUGCUUUUACUGUUCCUAGAUAGAGUGAGCAGUUUUGUUUUGCCAUGCCCUUGAUUGGGCCUCACCACAGACCAUAAGUAAUGCAGCCAGACACAUACGGGCCAUGAGCCAAAGCAACUCUUUCUUCCCUUAAGCUUUUAACAGGUAAACACCACGGUGACAGAAAGCCACCACCAUAGGUAAGCCCUGUAGACAAAGACGCCAACACCUCGAUGUUGACAGCGUGACUAAGAAAAUGCAGGAGAAAGAGAUGACCCACAGACUGGAAGUCUGUCAGCCAAACAGCACGGGAGGAAAGGAUAAAUCUCCAGAGCUGGUGCAGAAUUCACACAGCUCAACAUAAAAGCAAGCGACUGGACUUUAAAAUGGACAAAAGACCCAGGCAGACACUUCUCCAAGAAGAACCGAGUGGUCUACACUUGCUCCAGGUCACAGGUCACCAGAGCCACAGACAAAAUCCACAACAGAACACCACCACACAACUGUUAGCAAGAAGCAACAGGUGGUGGAGAGAAAGGAGGAACCCUUUCCACUGCUGCCGGGAGUGGAAUCUAGGUCAGUCACCAGGGGAGACUCUCUCUCUCUCUCUCUCUCUCUCUCUCUCACUCACACACACACACACACACACACACACACACACACACACACACACACAAUAGAGCCACUGUGAUCUCUAGCAUCCAAAGGGACUGAGGCCAGGCUGUGGAAGACACACCCAUAUCCCAGUUUUACUGUAGCCCUCGGUAGUCACAGCAACCAUGAUACAGAACCCACAGGGGUGUUCAUGGACAAGAGAAUGAGAAGGUGCUGUGCUCACACACAACACUGAACAUGAAGGAAUCCCAUCCUGUGUCAACAUAGAGACACCCGGUGAGCACUGUGCUAAAUGAAGCAAUCUGGUCACAGAACAAACACCAUGUAAUCUCCCAGAUGGACUCUCACCACCUAAAGACGUUGAACCCAAGUGUGGCUUUCCGGCUGGUGGUGUAGAAACAGGGAGACAUUAGUCCAAGGCAAAGAAGGAGCUCCAGUCUGGCAGUUGGGCAAGUUCUGCAGACCUGGUGUGUAGUGGGUGACUACAGAGGACAGUUUAUACCAUGUGCAGAGACUUAGAGAGGGCUGGCGUGUGGUUCAGAGACCCUGCCUGACAUGUGUGAGGCCCUAGGUUCAAUCCCCAGUACCACACACACACACACACACACACACACACACACACACACACACACCUGCUCAGAGAGAACAGAUUUUAAAUGUAACCCUUACAGGUGAUGGAUAUGCCAAACAAUUCAGUGGUCACUGUUUCAUAUCUGCAUAUAAAGUCUUUGCACUGCACACUUUAAUCCUUGGAUGUUCAUCAGGUCCAGGAGGUUCUCCAGGCUCCUGCCCUUCUAUGGCUGCAGCUCACCCGGGUCCUAAGCCUGGAGAGCCCCAAGCUGCACAGGAAUCUGGGAGGAAGCGAGGUCUGUGAAUAGCUCAGCUCGCACCAUACACACAGUAUUUAUCUGCAGGUUGCCAGGAGUGAGAGAUAAGCAUUCAGGUAUUUUUCCACGGAGGGGUCUUGUCUUCUUGGAUCAAAGUUAAACAGAAACCCGAGUUAACUGAAGCGUCCUAAAGAUCAGCAGCCUUUCGAAGACUCACAUUUGAUUAAGGAGCCAGAUAAAAGCCAAGGUGAGAAUAGCUGGGAGCCCAUGGGGUCCUGGGUGGAAGGAGCACCCGGGGCAUCUGCGAACUUUCAGAGUGAUAAACCCCGCAUAGCCCCCCACAACAUACUCCCACCGCUUUCCAAAUGCUCCACGACCUGCCAGCAUGGUCCAUGAAGACCAGAGGUUCAGUCACACUGGGUGAUUCUUAGUUGCACCUAGUAUGUCUGCAAGCCUGUUGCAAGUACAGGAUUUGAACCCCCGCCCCCAGACCUUGCUUUCUCCCAAGAGCUUUUCAGGCUCCCUGGGAAAUUCUACCUGUCUCUGUUGUCAUUCACAGGGUAGACACGGAGGGGUGAGGGUGAGGUCAAAUGCCUGGGUCCAUGUAGCCCCUGACUCAAGUUCUGCAUCAUUCCCAGACCCCACUCAGCCAAAGGGUUUCCUGGAGGUGGCAGCGGACCCAAGAGUAGCCCUACUCAUAGGCGGCUGGAGGUCAGUACUAGUGGAAGCAGGGGCGAGGACCCUGGGUGCUAUACUCCUGCACAUCCCUCAUUCUCUCCCCACAUAUACCCAAAGGACAAGCUGAUAUACCUAGGACCCUUCCCAGGGGCCCAGCUGCAUGCUGACCAGCAGAUCUGGCCAUGUAGAGGAGCUCCCGUGGGGUCACCCUAACUCCCAGCUAUCACCUCACAUACCAGCUGAAUGCUGUCAUGUUUCCACUGAUACCCUCCUGGUCUCCCUCAGGGGUCAGAGGAAAAGACGUGGGUGUGGAGCUACAAGCUUGGCUAGACAAGCGAGCACAGAGGCCCCAGGAUGCUAGACAGAGCCAGGUGUGCAAGGCGAGGUGUGUAGACGCAGACGGCCAGGCCUGCUGCACCAGGCGUAUAUAGGUAGGUGGUUAGGUAUUUUUCCAUAGAAACACCUUGUCUCUUCAGAUCAAAGUUAAACAGAAACUCAAGUUAACUGACGUCAAGUGUGUAAGUCUGGGCGCAUGGGGUUGCUGAAGUGUGAGUACAAGGCCAGGUGUGCAAGGCCAGGGGCUUAGAGUGAGCAGAGGGUCAGGCUACACCCACUGGCCUGGGAGGGGAAUGGGGCAGGGCCCACAUUAUAGUGGGAAAGCCCCACCAUGGAUCUGGUCAGACCCUGAGGAGGAAGUGCAUGCUCCCUGGUAGGAACUCAUUAUUCCCAAUCCCCUUGCCCCCUGGUGUAGUCAAGGACUGUCCCUGCCCCAGCACCUCCCACUCUACAAGCUCACAGAUGCCACUAAGGGGUUAGAGAAACACUGUGGGGGAGGGGUGAAAUCUUCGUCCUUGUCUUUCUUUCUGGUGUCCUUUUCCAUGCUGGGGUAGGAGUGAUCAGCCUGCCACAGAAGCCCAGCAGGAGUGGGGCUCCUCUGGAGCGGAGGAGCCCGGGAAAGAGAAGCUGAGAGGCCAGAGGAGUUAAGGACUCUCCUACUCUGAACCCUGAGUUUCCAUGGACGUCUCUCCCACCCACCUUGCCUGGAAAGGGGCCUUUGCUCAAUGAGGCUUGGCACCCAGAUGUGGCCUACAGGGAUGGGGAGCAUGAGUGCUGAUGGACCAGUCCCCAGGACCUUGCUGGGGAUGCAGCCCAAAGUGUCCAGAUGUUUAGCCCCUGGCUGACCAGGCAGCCGCAGUUAAAGACAUCAGUGUCUCAUGAAGCUCCACUAUAAGGACCUCAUGUGCCAGCUCUGACCCUGCACCCCAUGUGGCUGAGCCCUCACCCAAAGGAGGCGUGGCCUUCCUUCCAGCACCUAACAGGACCUAUGCCUUUAUAGCCUCUGGCUGCCCCUGAAACAGACACAUGGCCAGGCCCUCCUAACCCUGGCUAGCAGCCCACAUGAUUCCCCAUCAUCUUGCGUGGCCCCAACAGAAGAUGAGGUAGGUUGUUCUCCUGUCAAGACACAUCCCCGUGGAGCUGACCGCGCAGGAUGGGCUCUGCCAGCUGUGGCCAGGUGCGGGCCUCCUCCGGGAGGCGGCCCGACCCAGUCCACGUUCAGCUAUUUCAAGGGUGGAAUGUGUGUGGGAUUCAUUGUGACACCAGCCCCACCCUCUCAGGUCCAGCUGUGGCCCCUAAUGAAGCCUUGAGCAUCCCCUGGGCUUCUGCACAGCCCAGGUCCUUCCUGGAACGGGGCCACACAUCCAGCUCCUCUGCCUGUAGCCUGUCACUCACCCUCUGAAUGCAUCUUCUCAGCCAGAGUCCUGUUCAUCCCCUGGGAGGCGACCCCAGGGCUACAGGCUCAGAUUUUACCCAGCUGUGUCACGAUAAGUCCCCCACACACCUGUUCCUCCAUUGCAGUUCCUCGUGUGCCUCUUUCCUGGGAAUGAGUACUAUCUAUCUAGGGCUUGACCCUGCCCUACCUGUAGCCCCUUACUUGCUAUACCAGGCUCUGAGCCAGCAACUUGCCAGGAACCAUCCAAGUUCACCCUGCUGGCAUCCAACAAGAUGAUUCCCGGCAGAGUCCCAGGGAACCCUCGUGGCUGCAUGCCUACAAACCGACAGCAGACACCCCUUUGAGCCCAGCCUAGCCUCCCAGCUCCUGAGCACAUUGGCUAGAGGGCAAGGCCGCUUCCCCUCCCGCAGAGGACAGAUGUCAUGCCCUGCAGGCUGGCCAAGGCCUCCCAAUGCAAACAGUAGCUGGGGAGUCAGGAGCACAGCUUGGGAGCACUAUCUAGAGGCCUGGUCCCUGAGCAGACACAAAAGGAAGCUACCUGGGACCUGGUCCAUCUGUCCCUGCCCUGCCUUGAUCCUGGGAAUUUCUGAAGAAUGGCCCCCUCCUCUUUUCUACCCAUCACAUAGCAUUGUAUGGCAGAGCUUCAGGUCUUGGCUGGGCAGAAGCACGUGGGUUGUAUAGGAGGCCGGGGCCUAUGGUCUCCUUGUGUGGCUGGCAUUUUUCAGCCCUUUGACUAGGCUGGCUGGGGCUACAGGGAGAGCUUCAGAGAGCGUGGCUCAGAGGCUAGGAACAAGGACGGAACAGCUGGAAUUCAGUAGGAGUCAAAGCUCCUCCACCACACUAUUGCUUUGGUUCUCCAUUUCCAGCCUGUGACCGAGUCAGCACCUGGCUAACUCUGCGAGGACUGUCUCUCUGUCUCAGGAGCAGCCACGGAGCUGAAAGGCAGUCAAGGGACACCCGGUGGAACUCCAGUUUAUACCACUUAGAGCGGCUGAGUUUUCUGCUGAGAGUGUGGGUGUGGGUGUGGGGGGCCUGGCCAGGGUCCUUGGGGACACGGAGGCCGCGCCCCAGCUCCUACUGCCUGCAUUGGAGAACACCCGGAAGUCCUGGCAGCUGGCCACCAUUCUGUGAUGAAAUGGAGUUGGAAGAAUGCUCAGCUUGCUGUUACAGCUGUUGCUUCAGAGACAGGGUCCUUGCAAGUGUUUCAGAACUAACUCUUCUCUUGGGAGUUGCUUCCAAUUGACCGACUGGAGCAGCAGUUAAGCCUCAAGAAGAAGGCUGGCUGUGCACCCAGGGACUCAGCAAGAAAUUCCCAGGCAAAGCCAGGAGCCAGGAGUGGAAGCAAUGAAAUGGCAGCAGCUCCUAUUUCAAAGGACGUGUGUAGGAGGGCAGAGGCCCUCUGGCCCUGAGUGGCCACUGUGCCCAGCACUCACUCAUGCUUAGCAUUCCCUGACCUUGCUGCUCAUUUCAGAAACAUAAAAUAUUCAGCAAUUCCCUCACAAGCACCAUGGAUGGAUCCAUAGCUCAGGCCCAAGCUUUGGCUUCCAUCAGGAGUCUUGUGCAAUCCAUACAUAUGCACAUGUGCACACACCUACGGACACACAUUCCCACACAGGUGUACUUACACACACACACACACACACACACACACGUACAUGCCUAUUCAAUACACUCAAACACACAUGCUCAUGCUCACACAGUCACACAUACACACAUGCUCAUAAAAACACGUGUAUUCAGGGAGCCAAGGUCCGAGCCUACCAGAGGUUGUCGUCUCUGUCCCACCCAGCCCCACCCAGUCCUUUGUAAAGGGUCCCAUCUGGUAUCACUCUGUGUACCCACGGGAGACCAGGUCAGGGUUUCAAAUGCCAUAUCACCCUUUUGGGAGAGAAGACAGAAACUGAGGAGCUGGGAGCAGCACCAAGCUACUUCCCUGCCACUGCCUGGUCAAGGGAGACCUCAGGCCCUUUGGAGAGGGACCGCAUAGUGUCAUGCAAGAUGGCAGGAUCUGUGAGAGGCAUGAAGACUGCCUGGCCCAGAUGAUAGCAGCCACAAGGCCAGGGAGAGAACCCAAGCUAAAGAGAAAGAGAUCCCUACACCCAAGGAAAGGUAGAGGGGGCACUGUCUAAGGUUAAGAACCUGGUGAGGAGGGGAGAGGCCCAGGCUGGAGUCCCUGCCCAUCUGACUCAGGUUCAUUCCCUGGCAGGUGCAGGUUGAAGGCUGAACAUGGGGGCUGGGGAGGGGGGCUGUGGCCCUGGAGCAAACAUCUGAGUUCUUGAGGAACUAACUCAUCACAAGCUCAGUCACACUGCCCCCCCCCCCGCCCCAGGCAGCCACUGAGAGUACUGCCCAUCAGCCCCCACUCCAGCUCCUAGAGAACAGGAAGAAUUGAUCAGAAACCUGGGGAUCAACACACAGUGUCCCCCAGGAAAGCAAAGCCUCAGAAGCAGGCCUCCCGCACAUUCCAGAUUCCCAACCCUCGGCCUGCAGCUCCCUUUCUUCUUUCCGGAAGCUGUGAGAACAACUUUCCUAGAAGCCCACGUCCACUGGCAACCCAUGACUUAAGGAAAAGCCUGAGGCCUUCUUGGACCACACCUGAGUCUGCCCUUGGGCUGGCUCUCCUGCUGUUGCCUGUCACCUUGUGAGGAAACACGCCACUUCUAUCCCUAGGCACCCGUGCCUGACUUGUUUGACAUAGCUCAGGUAGUCUGUCAAGCCUAACCAUCCCGGAAGCCAUAGCUGAGGCUCCUCUUCGCAGAGCUACUAUAGUGUGGAACCUGGAAAACAAGCCAUUCCACGGGACCACACUUGUUCUGACCUCUAGAGAGCCAUGUUCUGUCCAGCUCGCUUAUGAGGCAACCGAGCAGCCAACAUAGCGCGGAGGACUUCCUGAGACAGAGGGCCUAUGUGGCCUCCAGGACUGGUGCAAGCUUCCCUACAACAGCCGACAGUCAAUGCUAGUCCUCCCUUGGCCCUUGGCGACUACAGUCACAUGUGACUCCUCCUGCCAACAGGGCUCAAGAGUUGGUCAAAGGGGACAGUAGCAAAACUCUGGGGAACAGUCACCUCUAGCGAACCUAGAAGCACUUGGGAGGACAAAUGAGUUUAUCUCCGUUUCAGAAUCAAGGUACCAAGAUAGGAGCGGUCCCUCACCCUUGCCUGCCAAGGUCCUUGGGUGUGCCACAGCAAGUUCUUGCCAUGCAAGAAGCCACUCCCUCUGCACCAUCAGUGCCAGCUCUGGAAUGACAGGGACACGAGGGUUCUUGGGAACUCGAGAGCUACCAAAUCGGGAACCUAAAGGCACCAUUUCAGCUGUGUUUCAAACCGGCAAAUUCCCCCGCCAACACCAGGAGCCCAGACUGCUACUCUGCUACUUCCUACUUGCAAACCCCCUGGUCCUCCUGUGUGCCAUGGGGCAUCCCUCUAGCUCAGCUAAACACAGCCUCUACACUCCCAGCAAACACCAAAUCUUCAAUAGGACAGGGUCACUUUGCCUUGGGGACCACACCCUCCUCCCGUCACCAUGGGGACAAGGGGGACAAGCACCCAUCUGAAAGGAGUCAUUAGCUCUGUGUGUAUCAUUCCUCCCAGCACUCAGUCCCUUCCAGAAGGUUCCACCCUCUCGCUGCAGCAGCAAGACGCACCCCUGCCCCAAGCAAGGGUUUGUUCUGUCUUGUUGGCCCGUCUGGUCUGGUUUGGAUUCCUGAAUAAUGUAGUCUUUUAUUUUCAUUAAAAACUCCAGGACACCCACAUUUGAGCAGGAACCGGCUCUUAGCAGAGUGAGCCGUUAAGAGAGAAGAGGCUGUGAGACUCAGGGUGGCUCUGGGAGACAGCUGGGAGUUCAAGGGUCAGAAGCACGUCCAUCACUGCCAGGUGGGUUCUAUCUUGUGCCGAAGCCACCCUCAGACUUAGCCCAUAGUAAUCUCUGGAGUCCAUACACCUCCACGGGCCUCUCAGGGCUAGCCACUGCCUGUCCCAAAGCUGAGCAGGGAAGAACAGUGGUGGAGGAGCCAGGAAGUCGCCACAGCCCACGCUGCCUGCAUUCCUCGUGGCUCUCCCCCAUGUCCACCAGCCCGUGUGAACUAGACCACUCUGGUAAGAUUCAAGUCUUCUGUGGACUCCUUCCUUCGGAAACAGAGGCUACACGGGGGCCUGAGAAGGUCAGUCAGCACUGGAACAGUGUCCUGGUCCCACUCACUGACCCAGUCCGACCUGGCAAGUGUCCCCAAGCCUCUGAGGGGACACUGUCAUCUCCACUCUCCUCUGUGCCAGAAACAAUUCAUCUCCACUCUUCUCUGUGCCAGAAACAACCCCCACCAUCUGAGCACAGCCAUAAACUCUCUCCCGGGCACUGCACUCAUGGCAAAGUUUUCCAACACAAGGAUAAAGGACGGACGCUCUGGUGAUGCCCCUUCAAGGCUCCUCCACUCAGAAAGGCCUCACAGACAAGCUGGAGAAGCUCCACGGGCUUCGCAGCCCGGGCUCCACACCAGUCAGGCAGUGCCUUUUCUGGUCCUUGACUGGCUAUUAGAGUCCCCUGGAACUUUGCCAAAGAGUAAGAAGAGUUAGCUAGUUGGACGGUGGUGGUGGGUGCACUUCUUUAAUCCCAGCACUCAGGUGGCAGAGGCUGGAGGAUCUCUGUGAGUUCAAGGCCAGCCAGCCCAAGUUCCGGGACAGCCAAGACUAUACAGAGAAACCCUGUCUCAGGAAAGAAGAAGGAAGAAGAAGGGAGAGAGAAAAGGAAGAAGGGAGGAGGGGAGAGGAAAGAGGAGGAGGGGGAGGAGAAAAAGACGAGGAGGAGGAGGCAGUGGCAGCUGCGGUGUGGUGGGGGUGGCAGCUAGACAAUGAAAGGCCAGGUGACCAGGGCUGCACAACAAGGCUCCAGGCUCUUCCCUCCCUGGUAGCUCAGUCACCUGAGAAGCCUGCACAGCACCCACACACACACAUAUACCCCCACACCAAACACACAACCCAACAUCCAAGGCAAAAGAGGGCACAUUGCAACAUCCCAUGUAAUUUUUAACCACCGGCCUAGAACCCUCCUUCUGUCUCCACUCAGUCCUGUAACCCUUCCCCUACCAGGCAAGAGGCCAAGUCAACCCCCACCCCACCCCACCCCCAUCAUCAUCACCCAGGCCCUGGUAGAGCACGGGAGAGUGCAGGUGGGAAGGAGAAUCUCCCAGUCCUCAACCCAGAUUCUUCACUAGUGACACACCAGUGAUAUACUUUUGGCUCGGGAUUAAAGGCCAAGCAGUGCCCAGUGCCACCCACAGGCUGAGGGUGUCUAGGAACACAUAGGAAAGCUGUGUCCAAUGGGGUCUCCACUAAGCCUUCUUGAGGCAGGCAGCCAGGGUAAUCAGGAUGAUGGACAGAAGCAAAAGGGGUCAGUGAGGGGUGGAAGGGGACACACGACAUGACCAGGCUUCCAGGGCUGUUCAGCCCUUUAGGUAGUCCUUUCCCCUGAUCAACCAUUGCAAAGACACACAGCCAUCUGUCCAGCGAUCUCGGCUGAAGCCGUUGAGAUCGUCACACUCCCCCAGAUACAUGGGUAUCCAAAGAUGCCUGUGUCUACCAAGUCAGGGUAAGGAGGAGGCUCCCGGUUAUUGUCACCAACACAUGCCACCAUGCAGCCAUUCUAGGAGGCCAAAAACAGAAGAAUUGGUGGUUCAGAGCACAUAAUGCUCUUCCAGAGGACCCAAGUUCAUUUCACAGUACCCUCAUCAGGCAGCUCAGGACUGCCUGUAACUCCCAUUCCAGUGAGUCUGACGCCCUCUUCUGGCCUCCAUAGGCGCUGCAUGCAUGCACACACAAUUUUUAAAAUAAUAAAAUAUUUUAAAAGGAACAUAUUUAAAGCAUCUAUAGCACAUAUUGGGAUGAUGGGGUAAUGGGAACAUCUGAAUAUGUCCUCUUAGUUGCAUGACAGACAGGUGUCACAAGCUUCUCAGGAAAGAGAAUGUUCAGAGGACACAAGCAAGAGUGCUAAGGGUGCAGCUUAUCACAGGAAAAAGGCCUGCAAGUGGACAUACAAGGACGUGAGCCCAUAUGUGGACUCCCACGGCUGUGCGGAGACACAGACACAGGCAUGGAUAUGCAUACAUUGGAUUGUAGGGACUCAAGAUGACUCAGCAGAGGUGGGAAGAGAUGCAUCACCCCCCAGGGCUCAAGACAUUGUUCCUACAGAGCCUUCAAAACCACCAGGCAAAGUUCCAGGAGAAGUUGAGUGAGACACUGCCUUACAACUAAACUAGAGAGCUGUGGGUGGGGGCCCACGAGGGACCUAACCUCUCAGAGUUGAAAUUUAAUGUUCACGGCCCAAAACCGAUCUGAGUGUUCCCUGAUGACUGCAGACUCUAGAACCAUCCACACCUGUCCCAAACACAGCCUCCAAGAACCAAGAUUAUUUGGCUAUUCUGGGUCCCACGAGGCUCUCUCUGCACAGCUGGAAUUCUGGUGAGCGUUGCACGGAUCUGUAAGCAGCUGGGCUGCACUACUGAUGCCUUCUCAGAAGGUCCUUGAUUGCUGCUGUGUAAUGUUUGUGUUGUUCAAUGGAUUCAAAAUACACUUUACACUUUUUUUGUUAACUUUA